rnacentral:rRNA from 1 species
GAUGAACGCUGGCGGCGUGCCUAAUACAUGCAAGUCGAGCGAACAGAUGAGGAGCUUGCUCCUCUGACGUUAGCGGCGGACGGGUGAGUAACACGUGGAUAACCUACCUAUAAGACUGGGAUAACUUCGGGAAACCGGAGCUAAUACCGGAUAAUAUAUUGAACCGCAUGGUUCAAUAGUGAAAGACGGUUUUGCUGUCACUUAUAGAUGGAUCCGCGCCGCAUUAGCUAGUUGGUAAGGUAACGGCUUACCAAGGCAACGAUGCGUAGCCGACCUGAGAGGGGGAUCGGCCACACUGGAACUGAGACACGGUCCAGAGUCCUACGGGAGGGAGCAGUAGGGAAUCUUCCGCAAUGGGCGAAAGCCUGACGGAGCAAGGCGGCGUGAGUGAUGACGGUCUUCGGAUCGUAAAACUCUGUUAUUAGGGAAGAACAAAUGUGUAAGUAACUAUGCACGUCUUGACGGUACCUAAUCAGAAAGCCACGGCUAACUACGUG